rnacentral:rRNA from 1 species
CCUACGGGUGGCAGCAGUCGAGAAUCAUUCACAAUGGGGGAAACCCUGAUGGUGCGACGCCGCGUGGGGGAAUGAAGGUCUUCGGAUUGUAAACCCCUGUCAUGUGGGAGCAAAUUAAAAAGAUAGUACCACAAGAGGAAGAGACGGCUAACUCUGUGCCAGCAGCCGCGGUAAUACAGAGGUCUCAAGCGUUGUUCGGAAUCACUGGGCGUAAAGCGUGCGUAGGCUGUUUCGUAAGUCGUGUGUGAAAGGCGCGGGCUCAACCCGCGGACGGCACAUGAUACUGCGAGACUAGAGUAAGGGAGGGGGAACCGGAAUGCUCGGUGUAGCAGUGAAAUGCGUAGAUAGCGAGAGGAACACGCGUGGCGAAGGCGGGUUCCUGGACAUUAACUGACGCUGAGGCACGAAGGCCAGGGGAGCGAAAGGGAUUAGAUACCCCAGUAGUC